CUCAUCUGGGCACAGGCCCAUCUAUCUACUCCUGUGGCAUUUGUAUCUCCAAACAAAGCAACCCUCCCCCUUCACCACAGCCUUCAACACUGUCCCUCAAGUUUUUGUUACAAGCAGCAUAACAGCACAUCAAGAACAUCUGUGCUUUUAUGUGGCUUGUGCAGGUUGUUUUCCCUUAUUGCUUGCAUCAUUGUGCAAAUAUCAAAGAGAAAGUGAAGCUGGCAAGAACACAGAGGUCUUGGAAAGGCAGCCUUUCCCAGGCAGCUUCUACAGAUGCCAACAAAUGACAGCAUGAGAUUCAUUCUUCAGCUUUCUGGAUGCUGUGCAUGCAUUAUGCAACACACAAUUUUCAAACCAGUUAAACAAACCACAAAUGUGAUUGUGUCACUAAGUAAACCGAGCAGAAGGACCACCAAUGUCCAGAGCAGCAACUACUUACCCAACCUGGGCAUAACUGCCCCCAAGAACUGUUCGUCUUCCUGAAAAUGGUUUUCUUGUAGAGAUUCAAGCAGUUUCUGUAAGACAUC